rnacentral:rRNA from 1 species
GAUGAACGCUGGCGGCGUGCCUAAUACAUGCCAGUCGAGCGAACGGACGAGAAGCUUGCUUCUCUGAUGUUAGCGGCGGACGGGUGAGUAACACGUGGAUAACCUACCUAUAAGACUGGGAUAACUUCGGGAAACCGGAGCUAAUACCGGAUGAUAUUUUGAACCGCAUGGUUCAAAAGUGAAAGACGGUCUUGCUGUCACUUAUAGAUGGAUCCGCGCUGCAUUAGCUAGUUGGUAAGGUAACGGCUUACCAAGGCAACGAUGCAUAGCCGACCUGAGAGGGUGAUCGGCCACACUGGAACUGAGACACGGUCCAGACUCCUACGGGAGGCAGCAGUAGGGAAUCUUCCGCAAUGGGCGAAAGCCUGACGGAGCAACGCCGCGUGAGUGAUGAAGGUCUUCGGAUCGUAAAACUCUGUUAUUAGGGAAGAACAUAUGUGUAAGUAACUGUGCACAUCUUGACGGUACCUAAUCAGAAAGCCACGGCUAACUACGU